UGGAGUAUAAAGCAGAAGUGUUUGCUUGUUGCUUUGGAAACUUUCUGUGGUUGUUCAGAAUGGCACCAAGUCACUGCCGGGUUAAUAGAGCUGCUUUAAAUAUAACCAUAUUUUAUUAAAGCUAUGACAAAUACAUUGGGGUUUUAUCACUUGUGAUGAAUGUUUCAUUUCAUUGAGAUCAAUUCUAAUUCUGGAAAUUAAAUGUUCACCCAAGAAAGGAACAUGACAUCUUUCUCAACCUCAAAAAAAAAAAAAAAAAGGAAAAGAAAUUUUGUUCCAUAAGAGAGGAAAUCUUCCUAGUCCUGGUUUCCCAGAGGCCUACUGGUCAUUUUAGGAACAAGGAGCUAAGUUCUUUUUCCAUUCUUUUUAAAAAUCUCUGCAGCUUCUGCCCCAUACUCUAAUCAUCUAAGUGGCUUGGCUUCAGAAUGAUGGAAUUCUAGAACAUUGGUAUCUGCUUGGCCCAAUCUCUUCACUUUAUAGAUGAGAAAUACAAAGUGACUUGACCAAGGCCAUUAGCUAUUUAAUGGGAGAAAUGAGACUUAAAACCUAUUUCUGGGAUCUUUUAUUACUAGUUUUUUUUAAUUCUUGUAAAUUCUUUUUAAAGCACAUUCUCUUUAUAAACCACCAGUUCUAGAGAGCAGGAAAAAUAAUGUUACCAUUAGGAAGAAGCAAAUAGAGACCAUGUGAGGUCAAGAGAUUCCCAGUAGCAGAACCUAUAAUAGCAAUAUAUGCAUAGAGUGAGAGAAGCCUGCAUGCAAAUCAUCAUCAAUUUGGGCUGCAAAUGUGCCUUUUUAGGAUCACCCCAGACUGAGACAAUCACUGACUGUUGAAGUCUCCCCUUCCCGUGCCUCUGCCUUAGAGCCAUUACCUGAUCAUCACCUGUAAUAGUGACGAUAUUAUUCUUGACUAUCUCUGCUGCAGUGUCUGCCUGCUUUUUGCUGUAAUGUUUCAGCUUUUAGGUUUCAGCACUGAUGAAAUAAGAGAGAGGCAAACAUUAGAUCUGCUCCUUUGGAACAGUUGCUCUCCUAUGUCCAGACAGUCUUUAUAAAUACUAAGCAAGGACAGUCGAAAAGAUUACAUGGGAAAAGGGAUCACUCGUGAUCCUCAGACCUCAGAACGUACAAAUCGCUUGGUGUUUCACUGGAACAUAAAGCUAUUUCAUGACAUGUCUGCUUGUUCUGGCUCUGUGUCUGAGAUAACUCCCUGAGGAUGCCCUCUGCUUUCACUGUGUUAUGUGGGCUGCUGCAGAAGCCUGGGUGUGUUGAAGCACUCCCGGCAGGCAGAAGUGUGUGAGGAAUGUUCUGACACAGUCAUAGUCCUCAUCUCUCAAGCUUCUAAAAGUCGUGAUUACUGUCAUUGUCUCUCCUUUUAGGUAACGUGUACUGAUUAAGGCCCAAGCAUUUCAUGUAGUUUCCUUCCUUCCUUCCUCCCUUCCUUCCUUCUUUCUUUCCUUCCUCCCUCCCUUUGAAAGCUUACAACUCCAAAGUUAAAGGGAAGCUCAGAAAGAGAGCUUGGCCACAUUCCCACAAGCAGACUUAUGUUAGAUACGAGAUGACCAUUCCUCCCAGUUGCCCUCAAUAAUUAUCAAAAGAUCUUCACUGUACAGUCCAGAUUUGGUCAAAUAGUAUAUGGUCAUCCCACUUCAUUAGCACCAGAAUUGAUCUGAAGCAAAAUUGUGAAGUGGGAGAAGCUUAUCUUUGGCCCCUUCUUGUAUCACCUGUCCCCAGGAGAAAUGUUCCUGGGAACAUAAUUUUCUCCUCCGCCUCUUUGAACCUCACUUAUUCUGUUUCGGCUGGUUAUUAACUUGUUGCUGGUAAAUGCUGGUGCACCAAGAUUCCUGUUGGCCUUCUUUAUCCACAAACCAGCCAAGAGUUCUCUGCCAUUUUGUUCCACAAACCUCAAUCCAGCCAAUGCUUUCUCAUUCGGCACCAUUGAGAAUGAGGUGAGACAGUCUAUGUUUCUGUUUUUCCUACAAAAUUAUGAAAUUGUGAAGAGCCAGGAUAGUGUUUUGUUAAUGCAUUCUCAGUACCUAGCAGUGUGCCUGGAAAAAAAAUAGUCUGUGAAAGCUUAGCAAUCUAAGAUUUUCUGCUCCUGUCCUUUGAUCUCUCAAUUCCUGGAACUUUCUGAUUGCUGACUCCUUUCUAGGACUUUUCGUCAUCAACUUUGUUUUUCCUUUCAGCUUCUGAAGGUUCUCUGACUUCCCCACUAUACACUGAGUCUUCCAUUUUACUGUAUUUCCUGAUAUUUAUAUUGUCAUGAUGUGUGUCUUUCUUCAUUGUUUUAAAUCUAGUGUAACCUGCCUUUCUAGCAGUUACACCUCAAAUUUAGUCAAGAUGAUCAUAGCUUGUGCUUGGCCUGCUUUGUUUUCUGCUAUCUGUCCAAAAGCUAAUCACCCUUUUUUUCUAUUUGUAAAAUCUGAUCUUGGAUGAGUUGGAAAGCAUGGGUUUGAACUCUAACUUUGUAUCCUUCUAGCUGCCUGACCUGUAACUUAGCCUCUUUGAACUCACAUUCCCUAUCGAUGAAAAAUAGGUAAUAACAAUACCUUCUACUCUAGAAUGAAUGAGAUAAUAUAUGUAGAAGAAAUUUGCUGAUCAACAUGAAGCUGUUUCUGCUAUGUCCAAAAUUAGUGCUUUGCACCAGUUGACAAGAGGUUCUUUAAACACAAAAAUUCUCUUCAAACUCUAAUAACAAACUCUCCUAAGGCAAGGAGUGAAAACAUUAAGAUUUGGCAUAUCACCUUGGAAAGAUAGCCAACUCUAGACUAGAUCAUCUUUGGAAUCAGUAGAAACUGCUCUUUUACAAUUUGCUAAAUUUAGAUUUGCAAGAUGUAUCCAAUUAAAGGUUCUCUAAAUUUAAUGUUUGUAAAUUAUUUAAAAAUCAGUUUCUUAGACUUUUAAGCAAGUCUGGAUGUUUAAGCCUGACAAUAGAUUUAAUACAACAGAUAAUGAGUACAAUAAUAGUAAACCCUGGGCUGUCUCACACAUUAAUGUUGGUCUGAGCCUUUAGAACAAGUGAAAAAUAGACAUGAAAACCUAAGGAAAAGUCAGACAGGGCAGUGCCUAUCUUAAGUGAAGUCUUGGUAUUAAAAUUUCAGAUGAAUGGGAGUAAAAAUCUUAGAGAAUUCUGUCAGUUGGAAUAUGUAAAUAUUUUCCAAAUUUUAUUUAUGUCCCAAAAUACCUUAACCUGUUUCUGUUAAGUAUAGAAUUCUCAAUAUUAAUAUUUUCUAUAAGAGUAUAACAUUAUUUUUAAGAAUAUUAUUCUCUUUCACUUUGUGGGAAGACUUCAGAUUAUGAUCAGGGGAGAUGCUCCUAGGAAAUACUAAAUGAAUGAGAAAGUCUGACACUACCUAGUAUGAUUGAGAGAUAUUAAGAUGCUGUCUUUGGGGAGUUCCUUUGUGGCAUAGCAGGUUAAGGAUCUGGCAUUGUCAUUGCAGCAGCUUGGGCUGCUGUGGUGAGGGUUUGAUCCCUGGCCUGAGAACUUCUACAUGUCACGGGCAUGGCUAAAAACAAACAAAAACCCCCCCAGGGAGUUCCCCUCAUGGCGCAGUGGUUAACGAAUCUGACUAGGAACCAUGAGGUUGCGGGUUCGGUCUCUGCCCUUGCUCAGUGGGUUGACGAUCCGGCGUUGCCGUGAGCUGUGGUGUAGUUUGCAGAUGCGGCUCGGAUCCCGCGUUGCUGUGGCUCUGGCGUAGGCCGGUGGCUACAGCUCUGAUUAGACCCCUAGCCUGGGAACCUCCAUAUGCCAUGGAAGCGGCCCAAAGAAAUAGCAAGAAGACAAAAAAAAAACAAAACAAACAAACAAAAAAAAAACAAAAAAAAAACAAAAAAAACCCCAAACAACUCUAAACAAAAAAGAUGCCAUAUUUAUACUAAUUUGGAGAGUUUGAAUUAUUCUCUCUCUCUAUAUUUUUAAUUCUUUUGAAUGUUUAUCUUUAGCCAAAAAUGCAUUGGAAAUGCACUCUAAGCUAAAGUGAUUUAAAAGGUUUUGAAAUCUGGGGGCUGAUGGUGGUGGUAUAAAUACCACUUAUAGUGUGAAUGUGACUAAUACCUUUUUGCUUUGCUGCUCUGUUUCGUGAGUCAAAAAUUCUUCCUCAUGAUAAUGAUGCUUCAAGCUGGUUAAGUAACAGGUGAAAACCUUUGAAGAGCUUGUGUGAUGAUUGGGACAUACUUCACUGAAGAUCUGUAGAUUUCUGAAAGCUCUGUUCUCUGUUCAAAAUGGUCAAAGGAGUAAGAGAAUCACUAGGCUGACGGUGGUUUGUGCAACUUUGGAUCCUUCAAGUAUUUAUUUUUAAUCUAUGUGUCAGAUAGCCCCCAUGUUAUUGAUAUCUUUUUAUCAGGAAACCAGUUAAGCAUGAUUGGUGGAAAAGAACUAUACACAUUUAAGGAGACCUAUACCUAUAUCAGAAAAUGUAACACUGCAGUCAGGAGUUGGCUAACAUUUUCUAUAAAGGGCUAGAGAGUAAAUAUUUUUAGCUCCAGAGGCCAUAUGAUCUCUGUUAUAACUGCUGAGUUUUGCCGUCAUGGUGUGAAAGCAACCAUAGAUAGUAUGUAAACAUAUAAGCAUAUCUGUGUUCCAGUAAAACCUUGUAUAAAGAGGCAAAAGGGCAGAUUUGGAAUGCAGGUUAUAAUUUGCUCACACCUGUUCUAAGCAGUAGCUUUGUCAUUGCUUAAAUUUUUUAACCUAAUUUUCUCCAGGGAAAGGAUUCACACCAAUAUACAAGACCGCAAAGAACUUAAUAAUCAUUAAAACCGAGAGAAGGGCUCAGACAUAUUGCUAUAGCUGAAAAGCUUCUUUGGGAGAGAGUAAGUGAUUUAUUCUCUAAUCCUGUGUACUUUAUUCAGAGCAAAUAAACAGCUGAGGUGAAAAAUUAAACAAGAAGACAAUGUGACUCUCUCCUUCUUGGAUGAGUCUCAAAGCCCAUCCUCUGAAUGUAAUUACUGAAGAGUUGACUAUAUAUGGAUGAGUUGUCUAUGAACUAAAUAGAAACUAGCUUCAAAAUCCAGGAAAAAAUGUAAUCAGAUUCUAGGACUGAGGCAUCACAAUGCCAAGUCGCAGAU
rnacentral:lncRNA from 1 species